rnacentral:rRNA from 1 species
GGUUGAUCCUGCCAGUAGUCAUAUGCUUGUCUCAAAGAUUAAGCCAUGCAUGUCUAAGUAUAAACAUCUUUAUACAGUGAAACUGCGUACAGCUCAUUAUAUCAGUUAUUAUUUAUUUGAUGGUACCUUACUACAUGGAUACCCGUAGUAAUUCUAGAGCUAAUACAUGCGUCAAGUCCCGACUUCUUGGAAGGGAUGUAUUUAUUAGAUAAAAAACCAAUGCAGGCAACUGCUCUCUUGGUGAUUCAUAGUAACUUUACGGAUCGCACGGCGCAAGCUGGCGACAGUUCAUU